rnacentral:rRNA from 1 species
UACGUAGGGUGCAAGCGUUGUCCGGAAUUAUUGGGCGUAAAGAGCUCGUAGGCGGUGUGUCACGUCGUUCGUGAAAACCUGCAGCUUAACUGUGGGCGUGCGGUCGAUACGGGCAUCACUGGAGUUCGGCAGGGGAGACUGGAAUUCCUGGUGUAGCGGUGAAAUGCGCAGAUAUCAGGAGGAACGCCGGUGGCGAAGGCGGGUCUCUGGGCCGAUACUGACGCUGAGACGCGAAAGCGUGGGGAGCGAACAGG